rnacentral:lncRNA from 1 species
UCCAAUUUUUGUACAGAUUAUAUAUCUUCGGAUAUCAACGGCCUAAUUUUAAUAACAACGUACCUCCUUCUCAUCAAAAAUUUUUCCAUUGCAACAUGCAGGCCAUGUUCCAUCAUUGUAAUCAGGCCAUAACCCAUCUAUCACACAAGCAAGAGAAUAUAAAUUUUGAGGUCUACAUACAUCAAACUAUUUUAACUGAUAUCAGUACAUGAGCAUGCUCAACUUUAUUUUAUUCAUCAAAUAUUGAAUCAUUUACAGAAACGUCAAUUUGAUUAUAGAGUUUUUCAAAUAUCGUGUUGUAGGGCAUUGCACCAUUAGAAAAUUGUCUUCAGCUUCUUCAAAAAUCACAUGUUUACUGCUUGUUUCACUCACUGUCAAAUGUAAUGUCAUAAAUUGAAAAAUAUUUUGAAAAUGAGAAUGAUUGAGAUGCAUGAAGAUAUUAAAAUCGUGUGUAUUCUUAAAAUGUAUUGUUGUCGUAUCUAUAUAUCGCCAUUCUGUGUCAGGUUGUUUGUGCUUCUUAGUUUGGAAUUGUAAAAGCAACGCAAUCGUAUCUUCAACUUACGAAUUGUAAAGUCACCAAAAGCACCAGAUCUACCAUAGAAGAGAGAAAAUGAAUGUAAGUUUGUGAACAAUGAAAAAGAACAUCCACAGUAUUUAGAACUCUCAAAAAUAUGAAAUACAAGUUACAACAGAUAGACAAAACUUUAAAUUCUUAUUCUAUCAAUGGUCUCUAGUAACCUUUUUCUUAGCAACUUUUUGGUGUCAUCCCUGUUAUUCCUUGCCUAAUGGCAAAAACAUGAAACGCAGAUGUUGGUGCGAAAGGAUGCUCAAAUUUAAUAAAUCCAUGAAAGGUUAUUGGACAGCUACUACAACUUAAAUGUAUUAAACAGACUUACAUUCAAUAACCAACAAGAGAGAUAUUUUUAUUACAUUCAAUAAAGAGGAACCUGGAAGAAGCCUAAUUAAAUAUAGAGUGAACACGAUAUCCUAACAAAAUGAAUGAGGCAAACCCUUUUGUUCAUACAUAAAGCCAAUCAUUCUCAAUGAGACACUAAUCAUUUCCUUUUCUAGCACAAAAAGUUAAAAGGUCCAGCAUCUCUCCUAUAGAAGAAGACUUGCAAAAUGAAUCGAUGACACAAAAGGUAGACAUUAUAAACUAGAGAAAUUGUGGGUGACCAAUCUAGGAUAUUUAAAGGAUGACACACACACACUUUUCCCAAGAUAUGAAAAUCAGGCGUAUCAGCACUUUUUGCCAUUUCACUUUGAUUCCCUAUCACCCACCAAAAUCAUAUCCAACAAUUGAGCGAAAAGAAGGCGGAAGUCACGAAGACGCAUGAUACACAAACUCAGUAAUUUCUACCUCUUUUGUACAUCAAGCAGCAUAACAAAAUAGAUAAUUUUACAGCAAAUAACAACCAAACAGAAUCCUAAAACAAAAGGGAAGGACGAAUUAAGCAUCAUUCUAAAGGGGAUAUAUCUAAUAUCUAAAUGGUCGGAAAAAUAGAAGAGACAGUCACCGAUUACAACAUCCGUUGGAGGAACAACAAUGGCGAGUGCCCUUGCAGACAGUACCAGGCCAUUGUAGGGCCAAUUUGAAGUAAUCGAAUUCUCUCUGCUCUUGACCGUCCUUGGUGUGGAAAAUUAUGGCACCUGAAGCAUGAUUGAAGGGAGUUGAUGAAAUAAAGAUGGUGAAUUGAAGAAGAAAUAAGAUGGGAAUGGCGGAGAGGGAGAGCAUCGUGAUCGGCAAAUUGAUCCACUCCCCAAAAAAACGACGAGGACUCCGUGGAGACCAAAAAUGAUAAAUAUAUUAAUAGAAUACAAUUAGCAAAGGCAACAAUCACUUUAUUUGUUUCCAACCUUUGAGGGUAUAAUACACUUUGUAUUAUCUUCUCAUGUAAAACUUUCUAUUAUAAGUUUAGUGUUUCGUCGUUGAUGUGACUUUUUUACUGAUAGGAAUGCAUAUUAAGAAAAGAAACACUUUAUAUUACCAAUGAUAUAAAAUUUUGCUACAUCUUCAAUCAAGGUCGAAAGCAAACGAGAAAAUUGAUAGUUAUUUAGCUUAAACAAAAUUUUAUUUAGAUAAAUACGACUAAAACAAAAUCAGACAAGUCUUUUUUAAAAGAAAAUGAGAUGUACAUAAUUACAAAUUUGGAGCUAUAUGAUGACAUGCUUUUGUUGCACGAUCCUAAAAAUAGUUUAAUUUUCAUUAUAGAAUCUUAUUUUAUAUGAUUUAAAAUAAGAUAUUUAGAUCGUAUAAAAACUAUUUGGUACGAGAUAUUUUGUAAAUAAGUAAAUUUAUAAAAACUAUUUAAAUUAAGAAUUGAUUUGUUUGUAUAGAUAUUGAUUGAUGUGUGUAACAAAAUAUUUUCUCUAACUUUUAGUAGGGAAGUAAUUUUAGAAUUUUAAUGUAAUAUAUUUAAUUUUGACGUAUAAAUCGAACAAUCCAUCUUUCCUUCUAUAUUGAUGUUUCUCUAUUACUUGAACUAAUUCUUAAGUAUCUUCAAUUGAAUUACCGUUGGAUCCAAUUCGGAAUUAUUCUUUAUGCCCCGGAUUACGUCCCUGGUCAUUAGAUAGGAAUCCGAAAAUGAAGAGAGAAACAAAGAAUAUUACUACUGUAUAAACAAAUAGUUUGAGAGUAAGCAUUACACAAUCUCCAAGAUCAUUUUUUUUUUAAGAGAAUAGAUUCUCUAUUUUAAUCUGUUUUGACACCAAGAAAUGCAGUGAAGUUAUUUCUAGAAAUAGGAAAAAAUUUAAAGAGUUGAGUCCUUGAUUACUCAAAAUUGGAUUUCAUACCCACAAUUCUAUAUUGUGGGGGACUCUAACAGGGUCGUUCAAAGGAAAAAAGUAAGAAUAAUAAAAUGAGAGUGAUCCAGAUUUAUCAAAGCUAUAGAAGAAUUUCUAUAUUGGAUUCAACUUAAAGCUUCAGACUGUAUGUACAACUUAUCUGAUCUUAUAACUAGUUAGAAUCUUUUUUUUUUUUUCCUAGUAAAUCAUGAAUUUGUCUCGGACAGUAUUAAAAAUAUUAUCGAAAGCUUACAGCAGCUUGCCAAACAAAAGCUAAUAGAAAAAAGAAUAGAGGUAUUACUGGCAUAACAUCUACUAUUGGAUUCAAAAAAGCGUAGGCCUCGGGCAAUUUGGCGACGAAAAAACUACUUGAAUAAAGGAAAGAAUUAAGACAGAUACCGAUGAAACUUAAGAUAUU